rnacentral:rRNA from 1 species
UGUAGUCUGCAACCCGACUACAUGAAGCUGGAAUCGCUAGUAAUCGCGAAUCAGAAUGUCGCGGUGAAUACGUUCCCGGGUCUUGUACACACCGCCCGUCACACCAUGGGAGUCGGAAAUGCCCGAAGUCAGUGACCUAACCGAAAGGGAGGAGCUGCCGAAGGUGGAGCCGGUAACUGGGGUGGAAGUCGUAACAAGGUACC